GAUGAACGCUGGCGGCGUGCCUAAUACAUGCAAGUCGAGCGAACAGACGAGGAGCUUGCUCCUCUGACGUUAGCGGCGGACGGGUGAGUAACACGUGGAUAACCUACCUAUAAGACUGGGAUAACUUCGGGAAACCGGAGCUAAUACCGGAUAAUAUAUUGAACCGCAUGGUUCAAUAGUGAAAGACGGUUUUGCUGUCACUUAUAGAUGGAUCCGCGCCGCAUUAGCUAGUUGGUAAGGUAACGGCUUACCGAGGCAACGAUGCGUAGCCGACCUGAGAGGGUGAGCGGCCACACUGGCACUGAGACACGGUCCAGACUCCUACGGGAGGCAGCAGUAGGGAAUCUUCCGCAAUGGGCGAAAGCCUGACGGAGCAACGCCGCGUGAGUGAUGAAGGUCUUCGGAUCGUAAAACUAUGUUAUUAGGGAAGAACAAAUGUGUAAGUAACUAUGCACGUCUUGACGGUACCUAAUCAGAAAGCCACGGCUAACUACGUG
rnacentral:rRNA from 1 species